GUGAAGUCCCUUGUUUACUGUAUUUGUAAUUAGCCACCAAGAACUUGAGUAACCGGUUUCCGAGGAGAACAUAUAUCCUGAAUCAGUUCCUGGACAUUUGUUUGAGGUCUUGUAAGGGAAACUGAAGGGAAUUGUGUAUUGAACAGGAUGGCUUAGACCUGCUCAACUUCUGAGAAUUGAGAUUGUGAGACUCCCAGUUCUAGCCAGAUAUCACCACUUCAAAGACAUAACAAAAAGGCAAAGUGGGCAAUCCAGAUGUAUCACUUGACUUUCUGACUACUGGAAGAAUUUCCCUUCAUUAUUGCACACCAGGGGUAUCCCACAGGCUCAUAAGUGAAAAGGACUUGCCUUGUCUCAGACGAGACUUUGGACUGUGAACUUUUGGGUUAAUGCUGAAAUGAGGGCCAGCUUCACGAAAUUGUAGAGGAGAGGUUCCUUGCAUAUCAUUUGAUCUUCUCUCAGCAGAGUUGGCCGGUCAUGCCAUCCUGAGUUUCAGGAAAGAACCACGUGAAGAAGAAGAUGAUGAAGAGCCAAGGAGCCUAUCAGGAAGGCAAUGAAGAGACUGGCAAAGGCAAGAAGGUACUAUCACUGCUAGAGAGAUCCAGGGGGAAGGCUGUGUGACCAGAGUCAAGGAACAGGAACAUCUGGAGAAAGCCUGCCCAAACAAGAGCUGAAGCCGUGUGGAGGAGACGCAGCAGCUACCACUGCAAAUGCUACUCGAGGCAGAGAGACGGAGGAGGUGGAAUGUGGCCUGUUUCCUCCUUGGGCCCUUCGGUUUUCCACAGUGUCUUUCACUGGCCUUCUUGAAAUCCAGGAAACAAGAGAGCUGGAAAAUAUUGGUCUCUGAGUUAUAGCACAGGGCAGAGAAGGGCAGAAAAUGCACCUGAAAGAAAACAGCUUUCUCCUCACCAACUCUUCAAAGAUCCAGUUGAUACAAAAUGCACAUGCUAAAAUAUGAUUCCCCAGUCCUGUCCAAGCUGAUGUGGUCUUCUCCAAGCCCCCAGUCCUGACCAAGCUGAAUCUCCUUUGUCACUCAUGGGGCAACAGGGACUUACCUGCCAGUGCAGGAGAAAGGAGAGAUCCUUUAGAACAGGAGCUAAGAUGCCAGGAGCUCACGCAAAAUGCUUGAAGAAAGGGGCUUAGCCAGAAACCGAACUGGGAGUUGAUGCCCAGUUUAGGAAGAGUUCAAAUCGAGGAGUCAGAAGCAGCAAAUUCUACAUCAGAUCCACAAAUUCUUAACUAGAAGAAUAAAAACAAGUCAAAUCAAGUUGGGCUCAAAAGGAAUAUAGGGGCAGAAGAGGUGAUGUGCAGAUGGGUGUGCCUGGCCAAAUGGUGGGGGUAGGCACAGGCAGCACACACCAUUGAUUUCUUUGCUUCCUUUUUUAAAGAUUUUAUUUUUAAGAGCAGUUUCAGGUUCAAAGCAAAGUUAGAAGUACCAAGAUUUUUUCCAUAUACCCCUGUCCCUACAUAUGCAUAGCCCCCUCAUUAUCAAAAUCCCCUAUCAGAGUGUAAUAAAUGACAAUGAACCUACGUUGGACGCAUCAUAAUCACGUAAAGUCCUGGUGUACAUUAGCUUUCACUCUUGGUGUUGUACAUUCUAUGAAUUCGGACAAAUGUGUAAUGGCAUGUGUCCACUGUUAUGGUAUCAUACAGAGCACUUUCACUGCCACAAAAAUUUUCUGCUCUCUGCCUAUAGUUGGGGAUCAGAAACCAAUACCCCAAAAUAUGGCAUUUUGACAUGCUGAACUGAAGAAGCUUUAAUGUCUCUCUGACCUUCCUUCUUCUGCCCCACCUUCUUUCCCAAAACCUAGGAUUAUCUUGUUCCCUUAUCUGCUUAAAGUCCGAACCUGCCAAAGAAGAAAACAAUGACCUCUGCACCCUUCCCUGAGUUUCCAUUAACUGAACCUAGAUUCCAGGAAGAAAGAUUGAAGUCUGUCAACACACCUGGACAGACUUUUAUCACAAACCAUUGUCCACUCUGCUAACCCAACAGAUUUUGUCCCAGACAACUGUAUUCUCUUCAAGCCCAUUGAAUUCUCCCUAGGAAUCAUGCAUUGCCCCUCAACAGAAUUCCUCUUGUCCCUACUCACAUAGUUUGCUUUGCCGGGAUCCUAAGAUUUCUUGGAAAACCUUAGGACCAGGAGGUAUUCUUGUGGACUCAUUCUGUUUUUCUGUAACCUCAAGAUGGUGUAUAAGCUUCUGCCCCCUAAUCGGGGGUUGGAGUAAUCACUGUGUCUCCUGUGUGAAAGUAAACACAUUUGUAUGCCCUUUUCCCAAUUAAUCUACCUUCUGUGAGUUGAUUUUUUAGCGAAACUUCAGAGGGCUCUUUGACUCCUACACUAUUUAUCCCUCCCCCUCCCUUCAGCCCCUAACAACCACUGAUCUUCUUACUGCCUCCACAGUUUUACCUUUUCCAGAAGGUCAUAUAGUUGAAAUAUUACAGUCCGUUACCUUUUCAGAUUAGCUUCUGUCACUUAGUAAUAUAUAUUUAAGAUUCCUCCAUGUCUUUUCAUGGCUUGAUAGUUCAUUUCUUUUCAGUAUUAAAUGAUAUUCCAUUGUUUGAUGUACCACAAUUUAUCCCUUACCUACUGAAGGAAUACCUGGUUGUUUCCAAGAUUUACCUGGCCACCUAUGGAAUACUGUAGUUUCCAAAACUGGCCAUAAGAUAUUUCCUACUAUUCUUGCAUAUUGCAGUUGCAUAAGAAUUGCGUCCUAAGAUUUUCCAGAAAUUUGGCACUUCUCCAUCAAGACAUGGAUUCUACUUCCUCUUCCCUUAAGUCUAGGCAGAUUUGUGACUGGUAACCACAGAGCAUGGUAGAAAUUACACGGAGUGAUUUCUGAGGUUAUAAAUGAUGAAGCUCAUCUACCUCACAGGAACAUAGGCAUUGAGUCCUGAGCCACCAAGCAAGUGUCCAACUACUCUGAAACUGCCAUGUGUUAAGUGAAAAGAUAGCAAGGGGAAGCACUGAAGCUGCAUCGUGAGCGAGAGAUGCCCAGCCACCAGGCAGCUGCUCCACCCACCUCACCCUCAGCCUACUUUCCUCCACCCUCAACCUUGUACUUUUGUUGCUCCAACCACUGUCUGGUUACAAUCAGAGGAGAGAUUCCAAGACAGUAGCACCCAGCUAAACCCUUCCUGAAUUCGCAACUCACAAAAGUUAUAAAAGACAAUAAAAUGACUGUUCUUUAAGUUAUAUGUUUUGAAGUGAAUUAUUAUUCAGCAACAAAUAACCCAUAACAUCAUCCUUUUUUCCUCACCUCCACUUCCCAGUUUUGCCUCCAGUCUGAGUACUUAAAGUUAGGCCUACAAAUCCAGUCCUUUCCCUUCAAAGGAAACUUAUUAUAAACUGAGGCAUCCAGAAAAAGGCUGUCAUGAGGUUUUAAUGUCAUUCUCUGCUCUCUUCAUU
rnacentral:lncRNA from 10 species